CCCUUCCUUAGACCUCGCCCCUUCGCAUAGGCCCCGGUCACCCCGUCUACUCCCCGGGCCCUCGCCCCGCCCCUCCCGGCGCACUCACGUACAGGGUUUCACUAUGUAGCCAAGGCUAGUCUUGAAUUCGUGAGCUCAAGUGAAUCACCGGCCUUGGCCUCUCAAGUCUAGGAUUACAGGAGAGGAAACUGAGGUUCACAAUCGGGCAGUGAAAAGCCAAAAGUAAAACCUAGGCUUUCUACAACUCUGCCUGCUCCUACAAAAGGUACCAAGGCCUCUCCUCUGUGGACAUCGCAAGCAGUCAUUCACAAACUAGUCUAAUCUGCAGAUUCCUGAGCCCUCCUGUUCUAGAUCCUGGGGAUGUCAGGAGGAGGACAGUCCAGCCCCUGGCCCCUGUCAUGUAAUGGGGAAGACAGGCAUUAAGCUGAGAUCAGGAAUAGAUACGGACACUGAAGGCAACACAGUGGCCAUGCAGGCCCUAAGGAUGGUGGUCAGGGGGACUGUCUUUGAGGGUGAUCUGUGGGGUCAGGGGAAGCUAUUCCAGGCAGAAGGGAUGGUGUACUUAAGGUAGGAGGAAUGUUUUGUGAUGAUUUGAAAGGUGUCCAGUGUGGCUGCACAAGUGAUGUGAAGAAGCCAUUGAUGAGGUUUAAAUAGGAGACUGACCCAGCUGCGUUUGUGGUCUUUAUAAAAUAAUUCUGGAUUGGAGGAAUCAAUUGAGGAAGGAAGGAGGGAAACCUGGCAGGGAGCUGCCGGGAUAAUUGGGUGAGUAGUAAGGGGGGCCUGACUCAGGGCAGUGGCAGUGGAUUUGGGGCAGACUGAACUGUGGUUGCCUGUACUGGAGUCAGGGAAGAGGGAGGGAAUGAGAAUGAUUCUGGUCUUCCUACCCUAAU
rnacentral:lncRNA from 10 species